rnacentral:rRNA from 1 species
UACGUAGGGCGCAAACGUUGUUCGGAAUUACUGGGCGUAAAGCGCGUGUAGGCGGCCCGAAAAGUCGGAUGUGAAAGCCCUGGGCUUAACCUAGGAAGUGCAUUCGAAACUGUCGUGGCUUGAGUUCUGGAGAGGAAGGCGGAAUUCUCGGUGUAGAGGUGAAAUUCGUAGAUAUCGAGAGGAACACCGGUGGCGAAGGCGGCCUUCUGGACAGUGACUGACGCUGAGACGCGAAAGCGUGGGGAGCAAACAGG